rnacentral:tRNA from 2 species
GGAUUCACAAUCCACUGCCUUAAUCCACUUGGCUACAUCC